rnacentral:rRNA from 1 species
CCUACGGGUAGCUGCAGUGGGGAAUAUUGCACAAUGGGGGAAACCCUGAUGCAGCGACGCCGCGUGAGUGAAGCAGUAUUUCGGUAUGUAAAGCUCUAUCAGCAGGGAAGAAGAAAGAAGGUACCUGACAGAGAAGCUCCGGCUAACUAUGUGCCAGCAGACGCGGUACUACGUAGGGGGCAAGCGUUAUCCGGAUUUACUGGGUGUAAUGUGAGCGUAGACGGCUGUGCAAGGCUGAAGUGAAAGCCAAGGGCUCAACCCUGGGACUGCUUUGGAAAGUGUGGAGCUAGAGUGCUGGUGAGGUAAGUGGAAUUCCUAGGGUAGCGGUGAAAUGCGUAGAUAUUAGGAGGAACACCAGUGGCGAAGGCGGCUUACUGGACAGUAACUGACGUUGAGGCUCGAAAGCGUGGGGAGCAAACAGGAUUAGAUACCCGAGUAGUC